rnacentral:rRNA from 1 species
AACGAACGCUGGCGGCAGGCCUAACACAUGCAAGUCGAACGCUCCAGCAAUGGAGAGUGGCAGACGGGUGAGUAACACGUGGGAACCUUCCCUAUGGUUCGGAAUAGCUCAGGGAAACUUGGGGUAAUACCGGAUAAGCCCUUCGGGGAAGGAUUUAUCGCCAUUGGAUGGGCCCGCCGUCGGAUUAGCUAGUUGGUGAGGUAACGGCUCACCAAGGCAACGAUCCGUAGCUGGUCUGAGAGGAUGAUCAGCCACACUGGGACUGAGACACGGCCCAGACUCCUACGGGAGGCAGCAGUGGGGAAUAUUGGACAAUGGGCGCAAGCCUGAUCCAGCCAUGCCGCGUGAGUGACGAAGG